UGGCUCAGGUGAUAAAGCAUCUGCCUGCAAUGCAGGAGACCCAGGUUUGAUCCCUGG
rnacentral:tRNA from 1 species